rnacentral:sRNA from 1 species
CUCAGUGUUUCCCUUACCUUAUUAGUAACAUUAAAUAAUUCAAUCUAUCAGUGCAUUGCGCAUAAGCGCGAUAACUUUAUGAAUUUAAAUAAAAGGGACACAUUAUGUCUAACAAAACAACUGGUUCUGUAAAAUGGUUUAACGAAACUAAAGGUUUCGGCUUCCUUACUCAAGAUAACGGCGGCGCUGACGUGUUCGUACACUUCAAUGCAAUCGCUUCUGACGGUUUCAAAACUCUAAUUGAAGGCCAAAAAGUGUCUUUCAAUGUAGAAAACGGUCAAAAAGGCCUACAAGCAGCUCAAGUAACUGUUCUGUAAUCUAGCCUAAUAUCUAGAAUUAAUAAAAAGGUCGCCUAGGCGGCCUUUUUGCU